rnacentral:rRNA from 1 species
UACAGAGGUCUCAAGCGUUGUUCGGAUUCAUUGGGCGUAAAGGGUGUGUAGGUGGCGCGCUAAGUCGGGUGUGAAAUUUCGGAGCUUAACUCCGAAACUGCAUUCGAUACUGGCGUGCUUGAGGACUGGAGAGGAGACUGGAAUUUACGGUGUAGCAGUGAAAUGCGUAGAUAUCGUAAGGAAGACCGUGGCGAAGGCGGGUCUCUGGACAGUUCCUGACACUGAGACACGAAGGCCCAGGGGGAGCAAAACGGGG